GACGAACGCUGGCGGCGUGCUUAACACAUGCAAGUCGAACGGAAAGGCCCUGCUUUUGUUGGGUGCUCGAGUGGCGAACGGGUGAGUAACACGUGUGUAACCUGCCCUUUACUUUGGGAUAACUUCAGGAAACUGGGGCUAAUACCGGAUAGGAGCUCCUGCUGCAUGGUGUGGGUUGGAAAGUUUCGGCGGUUGGGGAUGGACUCGCGGCUUAUCAGCUUGUUGGUGGGGUAGUGGCUUACCAAGGAUUUGACGGGUAGCCGGCCUGGGAGGGUGACCGGAAAAAGUGGGAAUGAGAAACGGCCAAGACUCAUAGGGGAGGAAGGAGUGGGGAAAAUUGAAAAAAGGGCGGAAGCCUGAUGAAGCAACGCAGGGUGCGGGAUGACGGCCUUCGGGUUGUAAAACGAUUUCGACUGUGACGAAGCGUGAGGGAGGGAAUGGGUAAAGAAGCACCGGCUAACUACGUG
rnacentral:rRNA from 1 species